rnacentral:rRNA from 1 species
AUUGAACGCUGGCGGCAUGCCUUACACAUGCAAGUCGAGCGAAGCCUUCGGGCUUAGCGGCGGACGGGUGAGUAACGCGUGGGAACGUGCCCUUUGGUACGGAAUAGCCCCGGGAAACUGGGAGUAAUACCGUAUGUGGUCGAGAGACGAAAGAUUUAUCGCCAAAGGAUCGGCCCGCGUUGGAUUAGGUAGUUGGUGGGGUAAUGGCCUACCAAGCGGACGAUCCAUAGCUGGUUUGAGAGGAUGAUCAGCCACACUGGGACUGAGACACGGCCCAGACUCCUACGGGAGGCAGCAGUGGGGAAUCUUAGACAAUGGGGGAAACCCUGAUCUAGCCAUGCCGCGUGAUCGAUGAAGGCCUUAGGGUUGUAAAGAUCUUUCAGUGGGGAAGAUAAUGACUGUACCCACAGAAGAAGCCCCGGCUAACUCCGUGCCAGCAGCCGCCGUAAUAC